CCCCCCGAGCCUUAUGGCUUUCCCACGUGCUGCGUCUUUCCCCGGUUUAUGUUGGCGGAGGGGGAGAGGCCAAAGGGGAACAGCUCGCGCCUGCCCCACCCCCUCUGCGCGCCGUGCUACUGGGACUUUCCCUUGCCGCCGAUGCCAGGAAUCCCGCUUUGCCAAGCUCGCAUCCUUGGAGGAAAUGGAGGGAAAGGAUGGCCUGCCUUCAAAACCUGCAAGAUGGGGCGCCGCAGCAAGCCGCCUUGAUUUAUAGCCCAGGGACCUGUUUCCAAGCUUUCUCUCUCUCCCAGCUCACCUGACGCUACUCGCGCCCAUGAAUGAAUGGUUUUACAAGAUGGCUACACCAAUUUUUAAGGAAUGAUUUCCCCCUUCAGCUAGCAAGUAACCUGUGUUAGUUUCAAGGUCAGCAAGCCAGACUGAAUAAAAUUUAUCAAAUAAAACCUACAAAGCAGAGCCUACAAUUGCACUUGCACUAUUUUGCUAUCAGCAAUAUAUGGCUUUUGCCAGCUGCAAAAACAAAUUUUGCAACAGCAAUAAUUAUCUUGGGGUUCUUAUCUGCUAGUAACAAUUGCAUGUAGAACUUUUCAGUCCAUCUGAGAUAUGGAAUUAGAAGAGGUCUGUAUGUCUCGAUAGAAAUUGCAACAUAACAGAAUAUGAAUUUGUGUUUCAAUAAUCUCACCAUUACAAGAACAAAGCCUUUCCGCAUAUGAAGUUUUAUAAAGUUUUCCUUCCAGCUCUGCUGAUGGCAUCAUACUGAAUUACAGUAGUUUAAAUGCUCAUUGCAAUUUAUUGCUUGUGGAUUGAUCUAGGUAGAAUGCCACUUUGAAAUGUGCAUUCUUGUGUCCCAGUUGUGCCCUUGACAAGAGAUUACCAUAAUCUGACUAUAAUUCUGACUGUAAUUCAAGGAACCUUUGUUUAAGCAUCACCAUUGCCUGAUCUGGUCCCAUGUGCAGGAAUCUCUUGAAAAACCUAAUUUGCAUAUUUUCUUUUCUCAAUUUGGAAUUUCCAGGAUGUAUGAUCAAUUAAUGUUAGUUCAGUCAGACCUUGGGGUUAAAAGUGAACCAAUAUUUAAUUGUGCAAACCAUAUCGUUGUUUUGACUUUGAUAAAUCCUGCCUCCAGCCUCAAGGUAGGCAUUUUGCCACCUGGAAUAGCUUUCUUAGAAUUUCUGCUGUAUUCUUUCCAAGUUCUGGUAAUUAAUUCCUAGGUUUAACUGGGCUCUGUAUAACAGCUAGAAUAAUGUCUUAGCUUCAGAAAGCUUGAGGGCAGAUGGUAUAUAUUGGGCACUUCUGGAGAACAAGAAAGAAAGAAUUGCUGCUCAACUCCUCUGGGUAUGUAGUGCUUCACGGAGUGGUGAAGCACAAAUCCUAAGAAUUGAAGCUGGGAAUCUGCUCUAUUUUCUGCCUUCAAGAGUCCAAUGCAGUUUUUUUUAAAAAAACAUGGCAAGACUUAGAAAACUACUUACCUGAACUGAUGAUAACUUACCCAGAAGCAAAGGUUAUUAUAGGAGGAUAUUUUAAUGCAAGACAUGGCCCUGGUGACUUGGUCCUAUAUUCAAAGUGCCACAAACAUCCUACAUAAAUGUAUUUGUCACCAAUGU